UGCUGACGAGUGGCGAACGGGUGAGUAAUACAUCGGAACGUGCCUAGUAGUGGGGGAUAACUACUCGAAAGAGUGGCUAAUACCGCAUGAGAUCUACGGAUGAAAGCAGGGGAUCGCAAGACCUUGUGCUACUAGAGCGGCCGAUGGCAGAUUAGGUAGUUGGUGGGAUAAAAGCUUACCAAGCCGACGAUCUGUAGCUGGUCUGAGAGGACGAUCAGCCACACUGGGACUGAGACACGGCCCAGACUCCUACGGGAGGCAGCAGUGGGGAAUUUUGGACAAUGGGCGCAAGCCUGAUCCAGCAAUGCCGCGUGCAGGAUGAAGGCCUUCGGGUUGUAAACUGCUUUUGUACGGAACGAAAAGCCCUGGGUUAAUACCCUGGGGUCAUGACGGUACCGUAAGAAUAAGCACCGGCUAACUACGUGCCAGCAGCCGCGGUAAUACGUAGGGUGCGAGCGUUAAUCGGAAUUACUGGGCGUAAAGGGUGCGCAGGCGGUUUUGUAAGCACAGAGGUGAAAUCCCCGGGCUCAACCUGGGAACUGCCUUUGUGACUGCAAGGCUAGAGUACGGCAGAGGGGAAUGGAAUUCCGCGUGUAGCAGUGAAAUGCGUAGAUAUGCGGAGGAACACCGAUGGCGAAGGCAAUCCCCUGGGCCUGUACUGACGCUCAUGCACGAAAAGCGU
rnacentral:rRNA from 1 species